ACAUAUUUUAACGUUGCACCGCGUUUACGACGCCAUGUCAAGUUCAAGUUAACGCGUUUUGUAAGAACGGCGUGUCAUGUCUUUUCAAGACAAAUCUGUUCAACGAUGUGAAAUCAUUGGCAAUGAGCUCAUUUACCAAAACAAAGAUCUCCUCCUCACAAGAAAUUUUCGAACUUACCACGGAUGUUCCUGAGGGAUUUUAUCGUGCAUUGACUACAAGAGAAUGCAAAUGGCAUACACAGGCAUGAAUCUGGGACAAGAUGGCCAUGACCUGCCGAGGUCUCCUCUCUCUCUGAGCCGGGCGUCUGGGGAUUCAGAAUUCUCCACUGCUGAAGCUUAAUUAGCCCAACUCUGUUGCCUGGAGAAGUGUUCAGCGCUUGACCUUUCCUAAAGGUAAGCGACCGCUGCGUGUUCAACAGGCCACAGGAAAAUGAGCAGCACCAAGGAGGUUUCUGACGAGUCCAACUAGGAGAGGAGGUGGAGAUGAAGGCAUUUGAGUCUUCGCCCAGCAGUGUCUCGUCUACCUUGAGAAAGACACGUCGCCAAAUGGAAGUUUUAUCAGUAUUCUCCUGGUGCAGGAUAACAAACCAUGGCCUUCAUUGAGAAGAACUAUUUCUUUUUUUUUUUUUUUAUAUAUAUUUAUUCUUGUGUAAUUUGGGCAUUCUCUAUUGAACAGCCUGUACAAUUUUGCAUAAGAAUGGCUUUAAAUACAAUUUCUAUAGAAAAUUCUGUUCUGCUCAUGUUUCUUGAAUGAAGCCCGAUGUUCAAAUCGAUAAAAAACGAGUUGUGUUUAUGUAGAAAACCGUGUAUGCGUGGGCUUAUGCGUGUGGUUCUCAUUGUCUUUUCUCUGCAUGAAUAUGUCGAGACCUUGACUUCAUCAAAGUAGCUAACUGUGUGUGCUGCGGCUCUAAUAGCUCGCUCUUCAUUAGUGUGGCACAGGAGAUGUCAGGUUGAGUAUGUCAAGCAUAAAGAAUCAGAGGAGCCGCUUCCAGGUCUCUCAAUUACACACCCUCAUCAGCCACUGUUACCAAACCACUUCUUUAUGUCAUAUAAUGCCUAUUUUAGGAAAAGGGUGCAGUGGUGCUGAUGACUGUUGUGAAUUCAACGCUGUUGUGUCCUGGAGCAGGAAGAGGUUUGCUCACGUGAUCGUCCUAUACAUAAUAAGUAAUCCCUUGAA